rnacentral:rRNA from 1 species
ACCCGUUCCCAUUCCGAACACGGAAGUUAAGCCCUCCAGCGCCGAUGGUACUUGGCUGGAAACGGCCUGGGAGAGUAGGUCGCUGCCGGAA